CUUCACUCCAGCCGCCGCCGUCUCGCGUCCGGUUCUCCUCCCCCUUCUCUCUCUUCGCCGAGCUCGCCGCCGCCGCUGCUCGCCUCAUCCCCCUCGCGCCUCCACCCCCUAGCCUCCCCUUCUCCUCCUCCCGUCCUCUCCUCCGCCGCUCGGUCGCCGUGCCCGUGCUGCUCAACCCCCGCCGCCCCAUCGGCUGCUCCGUCGCCGUUCAUGGCAUCCGGGAGGCACGCGGGCGCCCCCUCCCAUCGUGCCGUCGAGGGGAGGAGCCAGGCGGAGCGCGCCGUCGCCACCGGCUGGCGCGUCGACGAGAGGAGGCCAGGGUUAGGGUGCUCUCCUCGUCGCGCUGCGGAUCUCCUGGCGCCGCCGGCUGCAGGAGCUGAAGCUUCUCCUCGCGCCGCCAGCUGCCGGGUUCGGAUCUCCUCCACUUUGCAUCGCUGGCUGAUGGACUAAGAGCUCAUCCACCUCGCACCCCGGAGCACUACUACUUCCUCCUGCCUCGAUGUGCUCCUACCACCUCCUGGUUUUCUGAUCUAACUGGCAUUGACUAUAGUGAAGCUGCAAUUGAGCUUGCUCGAAACCUCGCAAUUCUUGAUGGAUUUGAGCAAAUUAAUUUCCUGGUUGAUGAUAUCCUGGAGUCAAAGUUGGAGAGGGGAUUUGAACUUGUGAUGGAUGAAGGAACUCUGGAUGCAAUAGGGCUCCACCCUGAUGGACCUGUAAAGAGAAUGAUGUAUUGGCAGUCAGUGGCUAGCUUGGUUUAUCAUGGUGGCAUACUGGACCAAGGAUGAGCUAGUGCAGGAGGUGGAGAACUUCAACCAGAGAAAGCUGGGCCCCGCAGAUUAGGAUUCCAUAAUUUGAUGUUGAGGUUUGACUGCCACCAUUGGGGAAAGCCACUAACCGAGGUGGAGCGGCGACUGCGGUUAGCGCAUCUAUUCUGCUAGGAGGUGUUGCCGUCGACGAUGAGUGCCAGACCAUGCGCUGACUCAAGGACCGCCGUUCCGUUGGCCCGUUGUUUAGCAUGCGCCGUCACGCGGCACUGCCCCCGGCCAUGAACUAGGGUCGGUGGCCGAGCUCGUCGCCGUCCGCCUCGGUGGCCCUCUUCCUCGCUUGCUUCUUUGGGUCCCAAGCACCUGCCACCGGUGGAUGACGAGAUCCGCCACCAACCAUGUACCGGGCAGGAGCUCACCCUCGCGGCCUCUACAUGUCCCCAGGGAGGUCUCCGCCUAUGGAGCUUACUGAUGUGCCACCCCCAGUUCAUCGUGAUGUUUUUGCACGUGUCUUAUGUUUCAAUUGGGUGCCAAGGAACACUUGACCGCUGGAGGUUGUCAUUUACCUAGCCUGAGUCCUGAUGAUACUACACCUUUCUUUGUACCCCAUUAAAGGCUACCACCAUUCAACUCAGGUACGUUUCUGUGCAUUGAGCCGGUCCAUUUUCAGCUAUUACUCUUACUUUGUUUACCAGACAACGUGUUGAGCCAGGCAUCGGCGCGCUGGGCUGAAGCCUUUUGUUGUUUCCUGGACAAAUUUCUAUGUAGUGUGAUGCCUUUUGUUGUUUCCUGGACAAAUUUCUAUGUACUAUGUGUAUGUAUCGAUGCAAUGCUUGUGAUAAAAACUUGAUAUAUUAGAUAGUUAAACACAUCUAUACUAUUCUAUUUUUUGCGUGGAA